UUUUUCCGACGAUUAGUCGGUAUUUUUUUCCUCUGAAGCAGAGCACCCGACUAAUCGUCUUGUUCGACUUGUCGUAGGCUCGAAGUCAGAAAUUUUUUUAAAAUAGCAUUAAAAAUCUUGGUUUUAAUCAUCUUGAGUUGGCUGUGUGAUUGAAAAUUACGUUGUUGAAUUCACUGUUCAUCUUUAAUAAUUAUCAUUUUCACUCAUCUGUCAACACUUAAAUACAUAAUAAUAACAACAGUUUAAUAUUAAAAAAUGUUACAUUGUCUUUAAUCAAUUAAAAGUUUUACCGUUCCGUUUUUAUAAACACAUCGUCACAUGGUUCUAUGUAUCACUAGUAGGAAGAUAACAUUGCGCAGUAAAAUUGAAACCAAGUUUGAAUGGAAGAAAAUAUUGCAGUAGGUCCGGGGGAUGUUUUUUUAAAUUUAAUUAUUUUAUUUGUAAAGAGUUGUUAGUGGAAAGUAUAAAUCAGAAAUAUUUAAUGGUCAAAUUCAAUCUUAAAAUACGUAAUCGGCAAUUAUCAAUACUACUGUUUAUACAAUAGGCUGACACCGGUUGUGUUAAUAAUCUUGCCCUAAGGCUGAGCUCUUUACGGCAAUUUCACUCCCUGUGUAUAUAAAGAGUACCGUUAUAAGAGUGAUUAUAGUUCAUUGAUUAAUUAUUGUCCAAUUCUUUGAUUAUUGUUAGAUAAUUUUUUAAGGAAACGUAUGUAUGUCGUAUAUCGUCAUUAUCAAGUCGUACAAAUGAUCGAUCUAUUUCUAACAGUGUCUAUGUAAAACAAUAGCGUGUAACUGCAUUACUGGAUACAAAGUAAACAAGUUUCAUCAAGUCAUAGUUGUUGCUAAGCUUUCUGCACUUGAGAUCCCCCUUUGAAGUCCGACACGAGACAGGUGCAUGCCUAUGACACCGGAAAUUGUUAAACAAACAUUGACCACGCGCCAAGUCAACAGGUGGCUGGUUACGUAAUGGCGAAUACACUGGCGAUAGUCAGAGUGGAUACUUAUUUUAAUGCUUGGGAAUAAAAUAUUUCUGACAAAUUUUAUAGGCCAUUUUGAAGUGAUAAGAUCGACGUAUGGUCUGAGAUCGACGUAUCAUAGGAUUUUGUUAAAAUUUUGGCUAAAAAUGGGCAAUUCGACGAGUCGUCCGCAUCGACGAGUCGUCGGGAAAAUACGGUACA